GAUUGACCUCGGAUCAGUAGGAUACCGCUGACUUAAGCAUAUCAUAAGCGGAGGAAAAGAAACCAACAGGGAUUGCCUCAGUAACGGCGAGUGAAGCGGCAACAGCUCAAAUUUGAAAUCUGGCCUCCUUUGGGGCCCGAGUUGUAAUUUGCAGAGGAUGUUUCGGGUGCGGCACCGUUCUAAGUUCCUUGGAACAGGGCGUCAUAGAGGGUGAGAAUCCCGUACGUGACCGGUCGCCAACCCCAUGUGAAACUCCUUCGACGAGUCGAGUUGUUUGGGAAUGCAGCUCAAAAUGGGUGGUAAAUUUCAUCUAAAGCUAAAUACUGGCCAGAGACCGAUAGCGCACAAGUAGAGUGAUCGAAAGAUGAAAAGCACUUUGGAAAGAGAGUUAAAAAGUACGUGAAAUUGUUGAAAGGGAAGCGCUUGCAGCCAGACUCGCCCGGGGGUGAUCAGCCUACCUUCUGGCAGGUGUACUCUCCCCCGGCCGGGCCAGCAUCGGUUCGGACGGCCGGAUAAAGGUCCCGGGAACGUAGCUCCUCUCGGGGAGUGUUAUAGCCCGGGGCGUAAUGCGGCCAGUCUGGACCGAGGACCGCGC
rnacentral:rRNA from 1 species